rnacentral:rRNA from 1 species
UAAUCGCGAAUCAGAAUGUCGCGGUGAAUACGUUCCCGGGCCUUGUACACACCGCCCGUCACACCAUGAGAGUCGAUAACACCCGAAGCCUGUGAGCUAACCUUUCAGGAGGCAGCAGUCGAAGGUGGGGUUGAUGAUUGGGGUGAAGUCGUAACAAGGUACC